UGGAAUAGAUUUUGAAUUGACUUAUCAUUUAGAAUUGCUUUUCAUCAUUCAGUGCAUAGUUUUUCAUUCAAAUAAGUCCGUUUUGCUGCUGUGUAUACAGGUCAUUAUGUAGGUAUAUUUUUUUUUAUCAUUACGUUUAUUCAUAGUGAAGGCUUUUAAAAGUAUAUUGUGUUUUCCCCACAUGUACAACAGAUGGCAGUGUAGCUUUAUACAUCACUCUGAUCAGUUCCACAGUGGGUAUACAACAACCAGGAAUACAGUACACCUUCAAUAGCACUACCACCCCCUAGCUGAUCGUAAAAAGCUACAAAUGGGGUGACUCUUUUACCGUGAGCUGCAACCUGUUACUCUGGAGGAAGAUGUCCUGAAGAAUGUGUUUAGCUGCAGCUUCUUCGGGUCCAACACAGUGUUUUGUCUCAGACUUCACUUUGGGAAAGUCCAACCGAUCAGCUAGUCAAAUCUUUCCCUGUUGGGCGUUGAUUUCGGGACAUUCAGGUAAUAUGAACUUCUAGUCCUAUUAGCUCGAGUACAUCACCCCAGGGAGCAGGUUGUGAUAGAACUGGAGAGGUGGAAGUACGUGCUGGUGAGAAAGGGAGGAAAGUCAGUAGGAGCAAGACAGAGUACAGUGCAUGGAGUGCUUUUCCCAAUCGACAUUGUCUCAGAGCAGCUGUACAGAAUGAAUUGCAUGUAUGAAACCAAGGCUCUGGGACUGGAACUGAAGAGAGCAAAAUUGGUAAAGAUGCUCUCUGACUGAAUGGGAUGGUGUUUCCGUCUUUUGCCCGUAAUCACAGUGAGAAAAGCCAGUCUCAUUCACUCAUAGUGAAGACAUUGUGAAGGCAAUAAACACAAGUGCAUUGUGUUUUCUCCACUAGAUAGCAGUAUAGCUUUAUACAGCGCAUUGAUCUGUUUCACAGUGGGUAUACAAUCACCAGUCACUUGAAUAGGAACACCAGUACACCUACAACCCCCCUGUGGGGACCCGGGGAAGAAUAGGUCCCCAGCACCCAAUUGCUGAGCGUGAGAGGCGACAAAUGGGGCGACUCGUUUACCGUGAGCUGCAACCCGUUACUGUGGUUGGAAGCUGUCCUGGUACCAGAGGAAGUGUUUGGCUGCGGCUUCUUUAGGUCCAACACAGUGCUUUGUCUAAUACUUCUAAUACUUCAAUUAGACGGGCAGUGGAAAAGGCCCAGUCCAACCAAUCGGCUAGUAAAAUCUUUCCCUGUUGGGUGUUGGUUUUGUGUCAAUCAGGAAAUAUGAACUUUUAGUCCUAUUAGCUCAAGUACAUCACCCCUGUAUCCUUGGUACAUAGGCAGUGGAUUUCCAUGGCUCUGUGUGUUCCCUUGUUGGACUUCGAGGCGGUAGGGGAGCAGGAGUGAUGAAAUGAAGCAAUGUAAAUAUGGCUAAAAAAAACCUUAUUGAAGGAUGUUGGAUCAAAACCUGGAUGACUACACAGAGACAAACACGAGAACUCACAGGGAUUUUUACUUCAGAAAUCCCUCCAGCCUGACAUUCCUCUCAGUAAGCUAUCCUCAUUUGUAGUACCAUAAGGGAGCAGGUUGUGAAGGAACUGGACAGGUGGAACGUGCUGGUGAGAAGGGAAGAAAAGUCACUAGGAGCAAGACAGAGUACAGUACAUGGAGUGUGUGGUAAAGAAGUUUUUUUUAAUUCAGCUUUAUUUCUAUGUUGCUUUUCCCAAUUCACAUUGUCUCAGAGCAGCUUUACAAAAUGUAAGAAUUAUAGAGCAAAAUUCACAAUUGCAUUGUGUUUUCUCCACUAGAUGGCAGUAUAGAAUUAUACAUUGCUUUGAUCUGUUCCACAGUGGGUAUACAACCACCUGUGGGGACCCUGGGAAGAAUAGGUCCCCAGCACCCACUUGCUGAUUGUAAGAUGCGUCAAAUAUGGCGACUCGUUUGCCAACAUGUUAGCAAAUGUCGCUAUAACAGUUUGUUAACAUCCAAAACUACACAGUAGUAAAGGAGUAUUCUAAACCAGAGAAUAACUCCAGGAUAUAAAUAAAGCUGAAAUAGUGUCUGAACUAAAACAACAAGAUAUAUAAUAUCCUUAUCAAAAAUGAGAAUCAGAAUAUCAGAACAGGCACUUAUAUCCUCACAUUCAAUAAACCUAAACUACCGGAAAGAAUUCAACUAUGAUAUCUAAGCUUUCCCUGUCAGCAUUUUCAUCCCAACCCACUGAGAUGUUUUAAAAAUUUGGCCAUGGCUUUACCAGUUGGAAAAAAUUAUCAACCCAUCUGCUACAAAUGUAAAGAAGGAAAACAUGGACUAGUCUG